GGCUGCGUCAUUUUUGAACUGCUUACCUUAAAGAGGACGUUUGAUGCUACGAACCCACUUAACCUGUGUGUGAAGAUUGUGCAAGGAAUUCGGGCCAUGGAAGUUGACUCUAGCCAGUACUCUUUGGAAUUGAUCCAAAUGGUUCAUUCGUGCCUUGACCAGGAUCCUGAGCAGAGACCUACUGCAGAUGAACUUCUAGAUCGCCCUCUUCUCAGGAAACGCAGGAGAGAGAUGGAGGAAAAAGUCACUCUGCUUAAUGCACCUACAAAGAGACCAAGGUCAAGCACUGUGACUGAAGCACCCAUUGCUGUAGUAACAUCACGAACCAGUGAAGUCUAUGUUUGGGGUGGUGGAAAAUCCACCCCCCAGAAACUGGAUGUUAUCAAGAGUGGCUGUAGUGCCCGGCAGGUCUGUGCAGGGAAUACCCACUUUGCUGUGGUCACAGUGGAGAAGGAACUGUACACUUGGGUGAACAUGCAAGGAGGCACUAAACUCCAUGGUCAGCUGGGCCAUGGAGACAAAGCCUCCUAUCGACAGCCAAAGCAUGUGGAGAAGUUGCAAGGCAAAGCUAUCCAUCAGGUGUCAUGCGGUGAUGAUUUCACUGUCUGUGUGACUGAUGAGGGUCAGCUCUAUGCCUUCGGAUCAGAUUAUUAUGGCUGCAUGGGGGUGGACAAAGUUGCUGGCCCUGAAGUGCUAGAACCCAUGCAGCUGAACUUCUUCCUCAGCAGUCCAGUGGAGCAGGUCUCCUGUGGAGAUAAUCAUGUGGUGGUUCUGACACGAAACAAGGAAGUCUAUUCUUGGGGCUGUGGCGAAUAUGGUAGGGGUAGCCUUGUCUCUGUCCACUUCUUCACAGGUAUACAACCUGACUUCAAAGUUGUAUGCAUCUAAACACAUCAUGCAGCCCCUAAAUGAGAAGUGUUAAUUCAGUAAAUCUUUUUUUUUUUUUUUUCUCUCGAGACAGAGUCUCUCUCUGUCACCCAGGCUGGAGUGCAAUGGCACGAUCUGGGCUCAUUGCAACCACCACCUCCCGAGUUCGAGCGAUUCUCCUGCCUCAGCCUCCCGAGUAGCUGGGAUUACAGGCGCACGCCAUCACACCCAGCUAAUUUUUUGUAUUUUUAGUAGAGAUGGGGUUUCACCACAUUGGCCAGGCUUGUCUCGAACUUCUGACCUCAUGAUCCGCCUGCCUCGGCCUCCCAAAGUGCUGGGAUUACAGGUGUGAGCCACCGCACCUGGCAAAAGAGAAUCUUACAGAACCUAUUCACUGGGAAGGAAGCCCUCAUUUUAAUGAUUUUCAUUCUUAUGUGUGUUUCAGGACGACUGGGUUUGGAUUCAGAAGAGGAUUAUUAUACACCACAAAAGGUGGAUGUUCCCAAGGCCUUGAUUAUUGUUGCAGUUCAAUGUGGCUGUGAUGGGACAUUUCUGUUGACCCAGUCAGGCAAAGUGCUGGCCUGUGGACUCAAUGAAUUCAAUAAGCUGGGUCUGAAUCAGUGCAUGUCGGGAAUUAUCAACCAUGAAGCAUACCAUGAAGUUCCCUACACAACGUCCUUUACCUUGGCCAAACAGUUGUCCUUUUAUAAGAUCCGUACCAUUGCCCCAGGCAAGACUCACACAGCUGCUAUUGAUGAGCGAGGCCGGCUUCUGACCUUUGGCUGCAACAAGUGCGGGCAGCUGGGCGUUGGGAACUACAAGAAGCGUCUGGGAAUCAACCUGUUGGGGGGACCCCUAGGUGGGAAGCAAGUGAUCAGGGUCUCCUGCGGUGAUGAGUUUACCAUUGCUGCCACUGAUGAUAAUCACAUUUUUGCCUGGGGCAAUGGUGGUAAUGGCCGCCUGGCAAUGACCCCCACAGAGAGACCACAUGGCUCUGAUAUCUGUACCUCAUGGCCUCGGCCUAUUUUUGGAUCUCUGCAUCAUGUCCCGGACCUGUCUUGCCGUGGAUGGCAUACCAUUCUCAUUGUUGAGAAAGUAUUGAAUUCUAAGACCAUCCGUUCCAAUAGCAGUGGCUUAUCCAUUGGAACUGUGUUUCAGAGCUCUAGCCCAGGAGGAGGCGGCGGGGGCGGCGGUGGUGAAGAAGAGGACAGUCAGCAGGAAUCUGAAACUCCUGACCCAAGUGGAGGCUUCCGAGGAACAAUGGAAGCAGACCGAGGAAUGGAAGGUUUAAUCAGUCCCACAGAGGCCAUGGGGAACAGUAAUGGGGCCAGCAGCUCCUGUCCUGGCUGGCUUCGAAAGGAGCUGGAAAAUGCAGAAUUUAUCCCCAUGCCUGACAGCCCAUCUCCUCUCAGUGCAGCGUUUUCAGAAUCUGAGAAAGAUACCCUGCCCUAUGAAGAGCUGCAAGGACUCAAAGUGGCCUCUGAAGCUCCUUUGGAACACAAACCCCAAGUAGAAGCCUCGUCACCUCGGCUGAAUCCUGCAGUAACCUGUGCUGGGAAGGGAACACCACUGACUCCUCCUGUGUGUGCGUGCAGCUCUCUGCAGGUGGAGGUUGAGAGAUUGCAGGGUCUGGUGUUAAAGUGUCUGGCUGAACAACAGAAGCUACAGCAAGAAAACCUCCAGAUUUUUACCCAACUGCAGAAGUUGAACAAGAAAUUAGAAGGAGGGCAGCAGGUGGGGAUGCAUUCCAAAGGAACUCAGACAGCAAAGGAAGAGAUGGAAAUGGAUCCAAAGCCUGACUUAGAUUCAGAUUCCUGGUGCCUCCUGGGAACAGACUCCUGUAGACCCAGCCUCUAGUCUCCUGAGCCUAUAGAGCCCCCAGGAGACUGGGACCCAAAGAACUUCACAGCACACUUACCGAAUGCAGAGAGCAGCUUUCCUGGCUUUGUUCACUUGCAGAAAAGGAGCGCAAGGCAGAGGCUCUGAAGCACUUUCCUUGUACAUUUGGAGAGUGGCAUUGCCUUUUAGAUAGGAUCUAGGAGUGAUUUUAUUGUUUUGGAGAAUGGAAGGGCCCCCAUGGCCCUGGCUUUGUCAUCAGUGACUGCCAUAGCAACAGCAGCUCUGUACCUCAUCUGUUGAUCCCACCUUUAAAGAGGAGACACAGUGCUCACCUUAAUUGCUCUGGUAGCAGCUUAUAUCCCAUGUAUCAUUUUCACCAUUGAUUGGAAGCUGCCUUGGGAAUUCAGUACCAGGCAUUACCCCUCUGGGUGGGAGAGGGAAAAGUGUAAAGUUGGAGUGGGCUGGAGUCAGGUGUGGCCCGCCCAGUGUCCUCUGCAGAGUGGUGAAGUAGUCUGGCCCUCUUGGGAGCCCUGAGUCCAGGAAAAUAUGUCUGAUGGAAUCAAUCUAGGGCUUGUUUCGAAAAAGUUCAGUUACUCUGUGCAGCUAAAUGCUUUAGGAGGAAAGGUAGGCUUAGGUUGCUUUUCCUCUGAGGGUUGAUUGAAAUUUCUUCAGUGAGGAAUAGAGAAAGGGCAGGACCCUCCUCAUUACACAGCUGGUGUUUCAGGCUGUGACCAAUGCAGGGUGGGAUUUCCUAACUGUGGAUGAGGGGAUGAGGUGUCUCUGAGGGAUGAGGUGUCUCAGAGAAUUGAGUCCAUGGGGCAGUCAGAAUAGCCUUAAGAGAAAAUCAUGAAGGAGAAGAGGUCCUCCUUUAGCUGCCUCUACUUGGUAUCUUAGAGAGGGCUUAGAGGGCUCUCAGUCUUCUGCCCGUGAAAAGACUUCUUUGAGCCUCUGCCUUCAUGGCUCUUAGGGUUCUGAUCUUGAUAUCAGCAGCCCCAACCACUUUGUUUCUGUAUGUCUAGUCAGUAUUUUCCCCCUUUUGGUGUUUUAUGAAGCCAUGUGAUAACGAAUGAAUCUGUAUCAUUUUUCCUACCUGAGUGGCCCAAAGCCAGCACCAAACCCUGGGAGUCCCUGAAGCCUAACAGAACAGGUAGAACUUGCAAAAGGAAUUUGGCUGAGAGCUCACUUCUAAUCCUGUACUCACUGUGUCUUUGUAGAUAGAAACAAGCUAGCCUUACCAAAGAGAAAUAGUGUCAUAGAAGAACAAAACUUCAUAUAGAAAGUUCUAGGCAUGUAUUUGAUGGUUUCCUUAAGGAUGUGAGCUUUGUAUUUCCACCUAGCCUUGUAAAAUGUUCCUGUGGUAUUUUGUGUCACACAUCCUACCUUUGAUGAGUCUCACAUCCCACCUUCCUACAAACAGCUAAAUUAAUUUUGUUUCAUUUUCCCCAGACCAAAAUGUUUGAUAAUCUUUUCAACAUUGUGGGAGGUCCUGUGCAAUGGAAAUUUUGCCAUUUCUCCAAAACUGGUGGCAUAAAGGCUGAUGCUUGGGGAGAACCCCAUUGCUUGGGACAGGCAACUCUGUUCAAUGGGAUCUUCUUUGGUUUGAUGUUCCCAUUGUUUUCUCAGUUCUGGGAAGCCUAGUACAUUAGUACUAAUGUAAUCACUGAAACCUUUUCUUGAAAUAAGGGAAGCAGCCAAACUUUGAUUAAAGUUGCAAGUUCUGGGGACUUGCGGGGGUUGUCAUAAACUGUAACAGUGGGUUUUGGUUCAGCAUGUAAAUGCAACUUUGAUUUUCUUGAGGACCGAUUGACCUGUCAUGUCCCUGUAUCCUCAUGCUCAUCAUCUCAGCAGGCCUGAGAGGCUGGGUCAGUUUGGGUGUUCAUCAUGAGGAUUGCUUCUGCCAUGGAGCUGAUGGACAUGGGCAGGUUGCUGAGAAGGUGGGGUGAAAGUGAGUGCCGGGGAUGGGUGAGUGCCCUGGUCUUGUUCAUAGAGGAGCCUUUCCCUAGCAGUGGAAUGCUGUGGUCAUUUUCUCUAGCAUAUUCCCUUGGGAAGUCUAGAUUUGCUAUUAAUCUGGCUGAGAAUCUAAGUUCUGUGCCUUAGAGACAGUUUGCACUUUCCCAUAUUGUGCCUGGGACAGCCAUAUGAUUUUUUUUCCCACCAAACAAGUAUGCAAACAGAAACCAGUUCAAAGGGGGAUGGAGUAAAAGAUGAGGCAGUAGAAAUGCCUUUGAAUGGUUUUCUGUAGCUAAUUCUCUUUAAAUUUUGUCCUGCUUUUUUUCUUUAUGCAGUGCUAGGUGUUUUAAGUUUUCUAGUAGUAUUGCUUUUGAGUUACAGUAUAACCUGAGUUACUCCUCUGCUCUAACAUUGUUGCAGAAGAACUAGUUUAUUGUUAGCCAGGUUGCUUGAAAGGUUGAGAGUGGAGUGGUUUGGCAUUUCUGUUUUAAAUAAACAUUUAAGCUCUUAA
rnacentral:sRNA from 1 species